rnacentral:rRNA from 1 species
GAUGAACGCUGGCGGCGUGCCUAAUACAUGCAAGUCGAGCGAACGGACGAGAAGCUUGCUUCUCGGAUGUUAGCGGCGGACGGGUGAGUAACACGUGGAUAACCUACCUAUAAGACUGGGAUAACUUCGGGAAACCGGAGCUAAUACCGGAUGAUAUUUUGAACCGCAUGGUUCAAAAGUGAAAGACGGUCUUGCUGUCACUUAUAGAUGGAUCCGCGCUGCAUUAGCUAGUUGGUAAGGUAACGGCUUACCAAGGCAACGAUGCAUAGCCGACCUGAGAGGGUGAUCGGCCACACUGGAACUGAGACACGGUCCAGACUCCUACGGGAGGCAGCAGUAGGGAAUCUUCCGCAAUGGGCGAAAGCCUGACGGAGCAACGCCGCGUGAGUGAUGAAGGUCUUCGGAUCGUAAAACUCUGUUAUUAGGGAAGAACAUAUGUGUAAGUAACUGUGCACAUCUUGACGGUACCUAAUCAGAAAGCCACGGCUAACUACGUG